rnacentral:tRNA from 1 species
GCGGAUGUAACUCAGUUGGUAGAGUGUCAGCUUCCCAAGCUGAAUGUCGCGGGUUCGAUCCCCGUCAUCCGCU